rnacentral:lncRNA from 1 species
UUUUUCACUACUAAUGUGAGAAGGGAACUUUCGGGUUGAAGCAUGAUCCUUCAUCAUUGAAGUUAGCCAAGGCUUACCGUCUAAGACGAGUAUGCACACUUGCAUGAACACCGAAGAAAAUCAUGAGCAAUAAACGAUACUUCAAAGUUCGGUAUUCCAUCAAACUUCAACCAAACAUUUUGAACAUAAUAAAUCUGCAGCAAAAUUCCUAAACUCUCUAACCUGCACAAACCAAAA